rnacentral:rRNA from 1 species
UGAGGAAUAUUGCUCAAUGGGCGAAAGCCUGAAGCAGCAACGCCGCGUGCGCGAUGAAGGUCUUCGAAUCGUAAAGCGCUUUUGAGAGGGACGAGAUAGGACGGUACCUCUUGAAUAAGUCACGGCUAACUCCGUGCCAGCAGCCGCGGUAAAACGUAGGUGGCAAGCGUUAUCCGGAUUCACUGGGCGUAAAGCGCGUGCAGGUGGCUUCGUAAGUUGGACGUUAAAUCUUUCGGCCUAACCGGGAGGUGUCGUUCAAUACUGCGGGGCUUGAGGGUAGAAGAGGGGGGUGGAAUUGCCGGUGUAGUGGUGAAAUGCGUAGAUAUCGGCAGGAACACCUGUGGCGAAAGCGGCCCCCUGGUCUGCUCCUGACACUCAGACGCGAAAGCUAGGGGAGUGAACG